AUCUCCCUGCUGUGUGCGUGUUGGCAGUUUUCAAUAUAAAUCCAACACUUAUUUUUCGGGAGCCCGAUUCUCCCUGGAACGAUUGCAGACCUCCCGGCUCUGCCGGACGAAGGGAGCGUGACCUCCGGGGGAGGGCACCCACCUGUCACAAGACGGGUUUCAUUUGACUGUACUCACGGCACGGCGGGGGUUCC
rnacentral:other from 1 species